ACUGGAUAAAGAAUAGAGCAGCAGGGCGGUUUGGCUUGAGGGGAGCAUGGGGAGAGGUGAUUGGAAAAUGGGAGAGUUGAGUUUUUGCACAGGUGUAACUACACUAAAUGCCUCCACAAGAUCGAAAGGGCUGGGAAGACGCUGGCGCAUGCCCAGUGGAAGGGUUGGUGGUCCUAUCUGGUCUUAACCAGCUCAGUUUGAACUGGAUGAAGCGGACUCUGAGUUCCUGGGAAACAACCCUGGUGAAUGUUUUACUGUCCAGGCCAUGUGCCACUUGGAGGGCAGUUGAGUCUUAACCUGGAUCAGUAAAGGCAGGUGAAUUGGAUUUAUUCCACGGUGGGUACACAGAGGCAUCGCCAGGCCAGACAAGCACCUCGGAAGGUGGAGACGACUGUGAUCCUUCGAUACGUUGGCCCUGUCACCGCAGAAAGAGCAGUGUCGGGACAGUCGUGCAAGGUCAGUGCGAGUCUGGGAGAGCAUGCCUGCCCACUGGGCUCAGUGGGGAUUAACGGAGGGGUGAGUGAGAGCCGCCAGGGGGGCCAAGGGGACGCCCUGGCCGAGCCCUUAGGCUGUGCCAAGGCACAGAGGCCCAGUGGGGCAAGGGAGGAGCUUGGGGAGUGGUGCCCCGCAGCUAUUGCUCCUAAAGAGAGAGCGCUCCAGGGUCCAGGGGGCUCUGGCCAGCUCGCGUGGGGUUGGGGGAGGAGGCCAAGGCCGGGCCCACGGAAUCUGCCUGCACCUUGGUUUGUUCUUCAAAAGAAGAAGAAAACAGCCUGGUUUGGGGUUUGUUUUGGUUGCUAAGUGGCGGUGAGGGCUUUGCCCAGCCAGUUGACCAUCCCCCACCCCGCCCUGGGCCUCCGUUUCCCCCUCUGUAUACAAGGUCAUGACUUAAACUGUGUUUAGCUCAGCAUCACAUAGAGAUGUUAAAUGCUGAUUCCUGGGCCCCAUCCCCAGAGGUUCUGAGUCCUCAGAGCCUGGGUAACGAGGGCCCCAGGGGCUUCUACUGCAGGUGGACCUUGCGUUUUAGCAGCUAACUGAACAGUCUUGAUGGUAAGAAUCACCUGGGGAGUUGUGACAAACACAGCUUCCCUCCCCUGAAGAUUCUGGCCCAGUGAGCUGGCCUAGGGCAGUGAUUCUCAAAGUGUGCUCCCAGGAGCAGCAGCCGAGGGCACAUCCCGGGAUUUGUUCCACUUGCCCAAUGUCAGGUCGCACAUGAGAGCUACGGACUAAAAAUCUCCAGGGCCAGGGCCCCGGCUGUUUGAACAAACUCUCCAAGAGAGUCUGAUGUCUGCUGAUGUGACGCGGUGACCUCAGGCCUAGGGUCUGUAUUGCUUAACAAUCACAGCAGGUGAUUUGUAGCCUUGGGCCAGGGGGACAUCCUUGCUGGCAGGAAGGACACUUCUAGCUCCUAUUGCCCAAGGCUCCUGAAAGGCCUGGAUUCUCCCCCACUUGCCUCUGAGUCUCUCCAGAACAAGGCGACUGGGAAGCAGUAUUUUCCCUUUACGAGCAAGUCAUUUUCAGAAGAGCUGGGGGCCGGGUCAUUAAAACCCCCACCUCACAAGUGGCACACACACAUGUACUCCUCGACACCCUCACUCCUGUGCUCCCCUGAGAAGAAGUGGAGGCCACGGAGAAACUUCCAGAAUCCAAGAUCUGCCGAAAAUGAGGCUGGGUCAGCAGGGGCCACUUCCUUUUAUUAAUUCAUUCCUGCCAGCUGACAUCUCAUUUUCUGGAAGCCGACCUGUGGAGCCUGGCUCCCUGGCCCCUCCCACCAGCUCCCACUCGCUCUCCUUCCUCCCUGGCGGGGGAGAGCUUCCCGCUAAGAAUAACAAGGAGGUCUGAGCAGGUACCUGGCCCACCAGGCAUCAGAAAAAUGAACCGCUCCCUCUGCUCCCCUUUGAACGCAUCUUAAAAUUCUGGGGCAGGUCCAUUAGCUCAAGGCUGACAGGGAAGAGAGGUUCCUGGCCUCUGGGUCCGGGCUUCCAGAGGGCCCUCUUUCCUGCCCCUUUCUCAUCGUCUCACCUGUGUGUGCCUGCAUCCACACACUUCAUUCAUUCAUUCAUUGAGCACAUCCUUGUGCCAGCUAAUGUGCUGGGAGAUGAGGAUGCUCGCAGUUGUGUGUGACCUGAAAAAAUACCUUCAACCUCAGCACACAAAACUUGACCCCAGAGCUUCAUUAAAGCUUCCCUACGGCGGCGGCGAUCUCGUGGGAGGGGGGAUGGGACUUUGGGAGAGGGUGAGGGAGGGCAUUGCGAAAAGAACUUGUCUGACUUGAGUUCAGGCUGCUAGAAACCUGUUUAUUGAGCAGUCACUGUGUUCCGGGAACUUCACUGGCGGCUCGAGCGGCGAUACAUAGUGUGACUGCGAAUUCCGGGGCCUUCAGGGGAGGAUACCCCGGGGGGUUCUGCUUUUCCGAGGGGCAUUGCGGUAUCGAGGGCAGAGCCCAGGUGUGCGGUCAGGAGAAUGGAGUGCUGGUCUGGCAGGUGCCCUGGCCAGCUGUGAUCUUGCAGAAGUCACUUUAUCCGGAAGCCUCGUACCUUCUGUGGUGGCGGAAGGAGCACAGUUUAACUGGGGAUCAGUUCACACAAUAGAUGACAAAUUAGCAGAGUGUCCAUGGUGUCAAGGGUUCUGGAGGAAAGCAGAGUUAGGGGUUAGGAAGGACUGAGGGAAGGGGGUGCUGCUAUUUAUACAGAAUUCCCGGAGGUCUUUUAGUGAGUGACAGUGGUACGUGAGCAGAGCUGAAGGGAAAGGGGGAGGGAAUUCACAGGAAAGAGCACACCAGGUGGGGGGAAACUGUAGGUGCAAAGACCCUGAGGUGGGUGUGUGCUGCCAGGAGCAUCAGGGUUACUGAUGAGGGGAGAGCCAAUUGUUGACAUUUCAGAAAUCUUGACAGCUACUUUUAAAUACAACCAUGAUUUGAAAGUACAUAAACGUAUAUCAAAAAGAAAGGUAAUAUAUUCAAAACCUAUCACUUUCUAAUUAUUUAGCUACAUUUUUUUCUGAUCCACAUUCUUCAGGUUAUGGACAUCUAUUGCGGGCAUAUAGUGGAAAUGCCAUAUGAUAGAGGGCGACUGACUAUCUCUCCUCAACCCUGCCUUCAGUGCCAUCAUGUCAGGAGCUUGAAGUUGCCCAUGCUGGGAGUAUUUAUACCAUGGAAAUUGGUAGACACUACCAGUCAUGAUUGCUCCUCUGCUCCUCCUCCUGUGAACAUUUUCCAGCUGACCAAUGCCUGCCGUGCCCUGCAGAGUCGAUCUGAGGCAGGAGUUCCUUUUCAAGUCUGCUCUCAGAUGGUGGUCCCUGAGGCUAGAGGAGGAGAUGGGGUUUGGUGUUGAGGAAAAGGGCCUGGCAGAGACAAGUUGGGGUGUGCUGGGCUGGACCUUCAGCCCCACUCCCUCCCUGGGCCCCCAUAUUUUUCCUGGAGCUGCCUCAACUGCGUCGUUAUCUCUUUCUAUCCCCACUUCCCUAGGCAACUGCAGUCAAUUCCUUAUUCCCACAGUGCAGUUCAGGAGACAGAGCUCCCGGGAGUGCAGCCCCUCAGGGAUAAUGAUAGAGAUAGUGAUUAACAUUCACUGCUGGAGCUCCCAUUGUGGCUCAGCGGGUUAAGGACCCAGCGUAGUCAAUCCCUUGCCUCACUCAGUGGGUUAAGGAUCCCAGGCUGCAGCAUCGGCUGCAGAUGCAGCUUGGAUCCGAUGUUGCCCUGGCAUAGGCCUCAGCUGCAGCUCCCAUUUGACCCCUAGCCCAGGAACUUCCACAUGGCGCAGGUGUGGCCAUAAAA
rnacentral:lncRNA from 1 species